rnacentral:ncRNA from 1 species
CCAGCAGCCGCGGUAAUUCCAGCUCCAAAAGUAUAUAUUUAAGUUGUUGCGGUUAAAAAGCUCGUAGUUGGAUUUUGGGCGCAGGCGGCCGGUCCGUCGCAAGGCGUGUACUGGACGUCCUGGCCUUCCCUCCGGUUCUCCGCCGGUGCUCUUGACUGAGUGUCGGCGGCGGCCGGAACGUUUACUUUGAAAAAAUUAGAGUGUUCAAAGCAGGCUCUCGAGCCUGGAUAAUGGUGCAUGGAAUAAUGGAAUAGGACCUCGGUUCUAUUUUGUUGGUUUUCGGAGCGCGAGGUAAUGAUUAAGAGGGACAGACGGGGGCAUUCGUACUGUGCCGUUAGAGGUGAAAUUCUUGGAUCGGCGCAAGACGAACGACUGCGAAAGCAUUUGCCAAGAAUGUUUUCUUUAAUCAAGAGCGAAAGUCAGAGGUUCGAAGACGAUCAGAUACCGUCCUAGUUCUGACUAUAAACGAUGCCAACUAGCGAUCGGGGGGCGUUACAUUGACGACCCCUCCGGCAGCUUACGGGAAACCAAAGUCUUUGGGUUCCGGGGGAAGUAUGGUUGCAAAGCUGAAACUUAAAGGAAUUGACGGAAGGGCACCACCAGGAGUGGAGCCUGCGGCUUAAUUUGACUCAACACGGGAAAUCUCACCCGGCCCGGACACAGUGAGGAUUGACAGAUGGAGAGCUCUUUCUUGAUUCUGUGGGUGGUGGGCAUGGC